UUGGUUUCAUAACAAAAAGCAGAUAAUUGGUUCAACAGAUUUCGUGAUGAAAGCUUUUUAGACCAGUGAUUCGUGUCAGCAGUCCAACUCGCUCUAACCUACCACGAGCGUUCUCUGAUCUGUUGCUUUUGCUGUUUCUCUGCAGCAGAACGCCGCUGGAGGUAAUUGGUUGAGUCAGACAAAGAAAGCUGCAGACUUUGUUCCCUGAGCUGAAGGUUUUUAUAGCUUCACAUUUAAAUCCACUCAUAUUAAACUUGUCAUGCUCUGUGUUCAUCGUCCCUUGAGGGUUUGAGAGUUGUACUUGAGUAAAGGUGAGCAAGUGUUGAUGCGAGUAUACGUCAUGCAUGUCGUGCGUACGCCGCUGCAGCCUGUUCAGGUCUGCAGCUGGCCCUCUCCACGCAUUUCCAACAAGCUGUUCGCCUCCUCCAAACAUCCGUUCCUUCACCUCCUCUGUGCCUCCCCCGUUUCCCCCUCUUCAUCUCACACCAAAUGAAAACACACUGGUUCAGCUGCAGAGAGCAGGCGAGGAGAGACGGCUGCCGCUCCUGAUUCUAUUAACUCGGAUCUCCAUUUCAGACCGGCAGCAGAAACUCGGGUCUCCAUAAAUCCACUCAAAUGAGCUGCAGACUCCCUUAACAGGGCCUCAGAGGGAUUAGGCUUGCAGGCAGAAGAAAACUCUGAAAACUGCUCUGGAACUACAAAACCAGGAGUGGCGAACCUUGCUUUGUUCUAAAAUAAGAAGAUGAGAAAUGGUUAAAACUGUGGAAAAUGUGGAUUUUCACCUAACUUUUGAUGUUUUGUCUGCAUGUCUUCUGUUUGGCUUAGAUCCUCCUGCCUCCGUCAGAGCUGACGGUGCAAAUGUCACCUCUCAUCCUGCAUCGGACCUGUGCCGGCGCCCAGACGUGUUUUAUGUCCUCGCAGUUCUCCUGACGUCAGCUUCAGUACCUGAAGGAGUGGUUCCAAAUUAGAAUUCAUAUUUUAGCAUUUCUUUGUUUAACGACUCAGUCCUAACCUGAUCUGCAGCAGUUAUAAAUGCAUGGAGCUGAUCUGGCUCCUUCUGGACUUCUGACAGCAUUUCUAAGUGGAUUCGGUGAGCAGGUUUAAAGGUCAGAUCUCAGCAGCGGACAUGAUGAGUUUCCAGAAACCUCAGCCUCCACCCUCUCUGCUGCUCAUGUGAUUUACCCGCUCGUCUGUUGACUCGUUUCCAGGAAACACGGCCCGCCAUCAAGCAGAAACGAGCUCUGAUCGUCCUCCUAACCGCCAUCCGUCUCCUGCUGAGUUUCAGGAAACACGGUAGCUCAGAAGCUGAAAUUGAAUUUUUAAGAUGAAGUUAAAAUCCUAAUUAAAUGAGUUAUUUUUGAUAUUUUUGGAUUUUCUGGGAUUUUGGCAUUUUGAUCCCUACAUCAACAUCAGAGCAAGUUUGGAUGACUUAUGAGGCCAUAAGUGUAAUAAAGUAAAACAAAUGUCAAAUUUAAAACUCAGUUUUUAUUGAUGUGUGUGUGUGGGGGGGGGGGGGGGGGAUCUCAGACACAGAGUUACUGAAGCGACUAAAACGGAAGCAAAAGCAAAAAUCUGUCAUUUUCAGUCGUCAUUAUCGGAGAUAAAACACAUUUAACAUCAAAAUUUGAAAUAUUUGGCAGCUCAACAAAUCAUAAAUGCCUAUUUUCUACCUUUAAUGCUGAAAAUUCUCUAAUAUGUCCAAAAAACAACAAUGAAGACUAAAAAAUAUUAAUAAAAAGUGUUGAUUCCGGUUAAAGACAGAAUUUAUUUGUUUUUGUGUUCUUUUGACUCUUAAUGAUGUUCUGGUGGAAAUAAUGAAGAAAUUUAUGAUAAAACGUAAAUUCAUUCAAGUAUUUCAUGAGUAAAAGACAAGGUCUAAUUCUUUAAUCUAAAGUUUUGCCAGGAAGAGAUGUUGAAUAAACAUCUGGAUGAGGCAGGGGGAAGCAAAUGAAUCCCAACCGUGAUGAAACGUGAUAAGUGAAUCCCUCGUUAUCAUAAUAAUUACAUAAAUGCGGAAGAAAUCUACUAAAUCAGAUCAAGAUUUGUCUCAAAAUAAGGUUUUGAUGCGCUGCAUCGAUAGAAUUAGCUGAGUAAAUGAUUCCCAUC